GUUUUCGUUGUCUUUUGUUAAAAAAUGAAAAAUCAGUUAUUUUAAUGAUAUAAGAAAGAUUUAUCUAUAGAUAAGUUACUAAAGCUAUAUUAAGUGCAAUAUGCAAGUGCAGAUCCAGCCAUUUUAAAAAGGGAGAAGAGGGGGUGUAACCCUUAAACUACCUUACCCCCUGUGUCCAUCAAUAAUACACACACCUCUUCACUGAUAACCUACAACCCUAAAAAUCCUCAGCAUUUAUAAAUGCAUCAACUAUUUUCAAUCCUAAACACCAAA
rnacentral:lncRNA from 1 species